rnacentral:lncRNA from 1 species
AUAAAUGAACCAAGUGCUGUUUUUGGAGUGGUAAAAUCUAUAAAACUCCCAUGGAAAAGACCAACAAGGAGACAUGGGCUCUGCAUUAUCGUUAACGAACAGAAACAAGUGAAGAAAAUAAUGGAAAAUAAAUACUACUAUGAUGGGCUUAAUAAAUGUGAAAUAAAAGCAGCUGUAUCAAAGGAACAGUAUCAGCAACAAUAGUGAGGGCCUAAAGGAGGAUUUUCAGGAAGGUCUUGGGUAAUAAGUGGUAACUAGCAGAAUGAUUAUGGGAAAGUAUCUAGGCCAGGUGGUUAUCCAAACAGCUGCAAACCAUACAAAAUGAUUUCAUUUACUUCUUAUCUGCAACAACAGGUUGUAAGACAGUACUUUCCAAUUUGAAGAAUCAUUUGAGAGUGGCUCCUGUCACCUGUUAAUAGCAGUUAAACUAACUCUUUUGUAUCAAUUAGCUAAAUGGAGGCAUGAUGUUGGGUCCCUC